rnacentral:tRNA from 1 species
GGGCUAUUAGCUCAGUUGGUUCAGAGCGCUGCCUUGACAGGGCAGAGGUCACUGGUUCGAAUCCAGUAUAGCUCACAA